UACGAAGGGGGCUAGCGUUGUUCGGAAUCACUGGGCGUAAAGCGCACGUAGGCGGAUUGUUAAGUCAGAGGUGAAAUGCCAAGGCUCAACCUUGGAACUGCCUUUGAUACUGGCAAUCUCGAGUCCGGGAGAGGUGAGUGGAACUGCGAGUGUAGAGGUGAAAUUCGUAGAUAUUCGCAAGAACACCAGUGGCGAAGGCGGCUCACUGGCCCGGUACUGACGCUGAGGUGCGAAAGCGUGGGGAGCAAACAGG
rnacentral:rRNA from 1 species